AUCGCUUCUCAGCCUUUUGGCUAAGAGCAAGUGUAGUAUGUGUUCUUAUCAGUUUAAUAUCUAUAUGAGGACUGCUUAUUAAAUUGAUUUUUAGAACAGGGAGACGGAAGAUGGGCUUACUCCAUCUGCUCCACGCAUCGACCUGGUAUUGCAGUACAUCCGGGAAUGGUGCACCUCCU
ensembl:snRNA U2 U2 spliceosomal RNA